rnacentral:rRNA from 1 species
AGUGAACGCUGGCGGUAGGCCUAACACAUGCAAGUCGAACGGCAGCACAGUAAGAGCUUGCUCUUACGGGUGGCGAGUGGCGGACGGGUGAGGAAUACAUCGGAAUCUACUUUUUCGUGGGGGAUAACGUAGGGAAACUUACGCUAAUACCGCAUACGACCUACGGGUGAAAGCAGGGGAUCUUCGGACCUUGCGCGAUUGAAUGAGCCGAUGUCGGAUUAGCUAGUUGGCGGGGUAAAGGCCCACCAAGGCGACGAUCCGUAGCUGGUCUGAGAGGAUGAUCAGCCACAAUGGAACUGAGACACGGGCCAGACUCCUACGGGAGGCAGCAGUGGGGAAUAUUGGACAAUGGGCGCAAGCCUGAUUCAGCCAUACCGCGUGGGUGAAGAAGGCCUUCGGGUUGUAAAGCCCUUUUGUUGGGAAAGAAAAGCAGCAGGUUAAUACCCCGCUGUUCUGACGGUACCCAAAGAAUAAGCACCGGCUAACUUCGU